GUUUUAAUAAUUUAAAAAAAAUUUUGAUUUUGUAAUUCAAAUUUAAGAAAAUAUUUCUUUUAAAACU
rnacentral:tRNA from 1 species